rnacentral:snoRNA from 1 species
UAUACAUGAUGUAUUUUUAUACUUUUGUUCUUCUGAAGUUGCAAACUUGCAAUGUGGAAGAACAAUUUAGUGACCUAAACUGAUGUGGU